CACGAAAGGAGCAGGUGUUAUUCAGAUUAACUGGGGCGUAAAAGGGGCUGUAGGUGGUUUUGUUUUAUGUGUAUUUAUUUAAAAUUUGUAAAAGCAUAAACUUUUAUAAACCGUAUUUACAGACCAAACAAAAACUAGAGUUUAGGGGUUAGAGGGGGUAGUAAGGAAAUUUUCUAAAUUGUAAAAGGGUGGAAAAUUUUGAAUUAAAAAUUUAGGAAGGAAGGAAAUUACCCCAAAAUUGGGCCGGUAAAGGCCCAAACCCUAUUCCUUGGGGUUCCCCCUUUAAA
rnacentral:rRNA from 1 species